rnacentral:rRNA from 1 species
CCUACGGGAGACUGCAGUCGAGAAUCAUUCACAAUGGGGGAAACCCUGAUGGUGCGACGCCGCGUGGGGGAAUGAAGGUCUUCGGAUUGUAAACCCCUGUCAUGUGGGAGCAAAUUAAAAAGAUAGUACCACAAGAGGAAGAGACGGCUAACUCUGGUCCAGCAGCCGCGGUACUACAGAGGUCCCAAGCGUUGUUCGGCAUCACUGGGCGUAAAGCGUGCGUAGGCUGUUUUGUAAGUCGUGUGUGAAAGGCGAGGGCUCAACCCGCGGACGGCACAUGAUACUGCGAGACUAGAGUAAUGGAGAGGGAACCGGAAUUCUCGGUGUAGCAGUGAAAUGCGUAGAUAUCGAGAGGAACACUGGUGGCGAAGGCGGGUUCCUGGACAUUAACUGACGCUGAGGCACGAAGGCCAGGGGAGCGAAAGGGAUUAGAUACCCGAGUAGUC